CCGGGGUUUAUAAGCACCGGACCGCUCAUAAGUUUUGGAGUUGUUAAAGCGCUACUCUGUCAAGUUUUGGGACGCAUUUGACCUGGAAAUAAAAAUGAUGGCAGCGAGAUUUGCUCUUUGCGUCCACGUAGCGCGAGCGGUCACACGGACUUCCACGCGGGUUUUGGGACAAGGACACGCGCGCAGCCUCAGCAGCGACACAGAUUUUUCUGGCAUUAAAGAACGGACCUUGGUAGCAGUGAAGCCCGACGGCGUUCAGAGGCGUCUGAUUGGCGAAGUCAUUAAGCGGUUUGAGCAGCGAGGAUUCCGAUUGGUCGGUCUAAAGAUGCUGCAGGCUUCUGACAAGCUUUUAGCUCAGCAUUACGUCUCGCUGCAGAGGAAACCUUUCUACUCCAGCCUGCUUUACUACAUGACCUCUGGCCCCAUAGUUGCCAUGGUGUGGGAGGGGCAUAAUGUAGUGAGGUCAUCACGUAUGCUGGUGGGAAACACAGACCCUGCUGAAGCCGCACCAGGAACUAUUAGAGGAGAUUUCAGUGUUCACAUCAGCAGUAUGAAAACUUUAAGAUGGAUCCAGAUGUGGACUGUGAAUGUGAAGAGAUGCUGCCGUUACUGAAGUGACCACUAGAGUUUGACCUGAACUAAACCAGCAAACCUCCCUUCUGGGAAUGCCAUGUCAGUGAAUCUCUGACGCAGCUCUACAUACCAUCAUACUGACUUUAUCAACAUCAGCAGACGUUCUGGUCACGCAAACACCCCCGGCACGUCCCAUCUAUUCUCCCCCCGCUGCUCGCCCCGGGCUCGAGCCCAACAGCCACUCGGGCCAAGUAACUCUUCCCCUGUAAGCUGUACUCCUCCCUCUCGCAAUCCCAUCUUCCCCCCGUAAUCCUUGGCAGUGACCAGCUCUGCCCCCCACCCUCAAGUUCAACUUCAACUGCCUGUGACAUCAUGUCUCGUUGCUGUGGGCAACCAGACAGUUGGGACGUGACUUUUCAGCGUAGGGGCCGUGCUUUAACUUUGCCUCUCUUCUCUCCGUUCCUGUCUCACGUUUCCGCAAUUCUUUACUUGUUCCUCUGACUGGGAAUGGCAUGGCGCUAAGAGAACGUCCCCGUACGGACAUGCAGUGGGACAAAAGUAUUCAAACACUUAAAGGCAUAGUUAAAAAAAAAAGUUUGAAUGUCGCUACAUUAGAUGCUGAGUCUGUAUUUGUGUGUCUCAAACUCUGCAGGAUCUUUUCUCUUCAUUAAUGUCAUUUAGUUUUAUUGUUUUGGUGGUUUUUACAGUUAUUAGUUUACUAGUGUAAUAAAAUAAAAUAAAAUAAACAUUUUCUCUUCA